rnacentral:ncRNA from 1 species
AGCUGAUUAGGGGAGCUGGCGCAUGCCGGCUGAGAGGGGACCCAGUGCGGUCCCGACCCAAGAACCUGAUCUGGGUAAUGCCAGCGUAGGGACUGCGGCCUCAGACGGC